GGGAGGGGUGUAUUUAUUAGAUAAAAAACCAAUGCCCCUCGGGGCUCCUUGGUGAAUCAUAAUAACUUAACGAAUCGCAUGGCCUUGCGCCGGCGAUGGUUCAUUCAAAUUUCUGCCCUAUCAACUUUCGAUGGUAGGAUAGUGGCCUACCACAGUGGCAACGGGUAACGGGGAAUUAGGGUUCGAUUCCGGAGAUUGAGCCUGAGAAACGGCUACCACAAGCAAGGAAGGCAGCAGGCGCGCAAAUUACCCAAUCCCGACACGGGGAGGUAGUGACAAUAAAUACUGAUACGGGGCUCUUUUGGGUCUCGUAAUUGGAAUGAGUACAAUCUAAAUCCCUUAACGAGGAACAAUUGGAGAACAAGUCUGGUGCCAGCAGCCGCGGUAAUUCCAGCGACAAUAGCGUAUAUUAAAGUUGUUGCAGUUAAAAAGCUCGUAGUUGAACCUUGGGUCUGGCUGGCCGGUCCGCCUCACCGCGAGUACUGGUCCGGCUGGACCUUUCCUUCUGGGGAAUCCCAUGGCCUUCACUGGCUGUGGGUGGAACCAGGACUUUUA
rnacentral:rRNA from 1 species